rnacentral:tRNA from 1 species
AAGAAAUUAGUUAAAUUCAUAAUAUUAAUUUGUCAUAUUAAAGUCAUCUUUUUCUUAAGAUAUUUCUUA